rnacentral:rRNA from 1 species
UACGUAGGGUGCGAGCGUUAAUCGGAAUUACUGGGCGUAAAGCGCACGUAGGCGGAUUGUUAAGUGAGGGGUGAAAUCCCAGGGCUCAACCCUGGAACUGCCUUUCAUACUGGCAAUCUAGAGUUCGAGAGAGGUGAGUGGAAUUCCGAGUGUAGAGGUGAAAUUCGUAGAUAUUCGGAGGAAUACCAGUGGCGAAGGCGGCUCACUGGCUCGAUACUGACGCUGAGGUGCGAAAGCGUGGGGAGCGAACAGG